AUCGCUCGCAGCCUGAUCAGCCAUGCCGCGUGUGCGAUGAAGGCCUUCGGGUUGUAAAGCACUUUUGGCAGGAAAGAAACGUCAUGGGUUAAUACCCCGUGAAACUGACGGUACCUGCAGAAUAAGCACCGGCUAACUACGUGCCAGCAGCCGCGGUAAU
rnacentral:rRNA from 1 species